rnacentral:rRNA from 1 species
UACAGAGGGUGCAAGCGUUAAUCGGAAUUACUGGGCGUAAAGCGUGCGUAGACGGUUAUGUAAGUCAGAUGUGAAAGCCCCGGGCUCAACCUGGGAAUUGCAUUCGAGACUGCAUUGCUGGAGUACGGAAGAGGAGGGCGGAAUUCCCGGUGUAGCGGUGAAAUGCGUAGAGAUCGGGAGGAACACCAGAGGCGAAGGCGGCGACCUGGACAAGUACUGACACUCAACUACGAAAGCGUGGGGAGCAAACAGGG